CCUACGGGAGGCAGCAGUGAGGAAUAUUGGUCAAUGGGCGCGAGCCUGAACCAGCCAAGUAGCGUGCAGGAUGACUGCCCUACGGGUUGUAAACUUCUUUUAUACAGGAAUAAAGUGAGGCACGUGUGACUUUUUGUAUGUACUUUAUGAAUAAGGAUCGGCUAACUCCGUGCCAGCAGCCGCGGUAAUACGGAGGAUCCGAGCGUUAUCCGGAUUUAUUGGGUUUAAAGGGAGCGUAGAUGGGUUGUUAAGUCAGUUGUGAAAGGUUGCGGCUCAACCGUAAAAUUGCAAGUGAUACUGUCAGUCUUGAGUACAGUUGAGGUAGGCGGAAUGCGUGGUGUAGCGGUGAAAUGCGUAGAGAGCACGAAGAACUCCGAUUGCGAAGGCAGCUUACUAAACUGCCACUGACAUUGAUGCUCGAAAGUGUGGGUAUCAAACAGGAUUAGAUACCCCUGUAGUC
rnacentral:rRNA from 1 species